AGAUGGUAAAAGUAAAAUUUAGCCCAUGUUAGCAUGAGUUGCAUGAGUGACUGGAGUUUUAAGAAAACGUGGAAUUCUGGUACAUCUGUGUCCCUUUAGACACAUGCCAUGAAACAUAACGGAAAUGGCAGAAGGAAGAAUCGACAGUUGUGUUCGAACCAUGGAACAAGCAACAUGCCGUUACUAUCGCUAUGAAGACGAAUCGGUGGGAAUAAGAAAUGUUAUGUCAUUACUUGGAUACGGGUCGGAUGUUAGACUUGCACGAAUAUUGUCGUAUCGUACAUGGGCGGCGCGUCUAAGUGAUUGGUCCAAACGCCCUUUGUCUGGUCGUAUAUGCUUCAUUAAUACUGGGAGCAAGGCGGAAGGCCUCGAAAAUAUACUUGAAAGUGAUUGACUGUAUCAUGGUGGAUAUGGGUGUAGUAUGUGUAGAAGAUGACAGUGAAAGGAACUCUUUUUCAAGAGAAACAACAGUAUUUAAAAUGGAUCAGCAUUUAAGCUAUCCCGGUAAUUGCAGACUUGAAUUAUCUGGACCACAAGUAAUUGAUUCGUAUUUGGAAAGGGCCCUAUGUGAUGAUAGCUACGGAAAGACUGUACUGAGUAGCGAUUUAUUUAUGGCUCGGAUUGAAAUUCCCAUCUUUGCUGGCCGCGUUGGGCAAUCGUUGCCUGAUUCAAUAGGACCAUUUAACCAAGAUUUAGUAAAAGCAUUUUGCUGUAUAUGUCCCGAAAUUUUGAAUAAAUGGGCUUCAAGACCGCGUUAUUGGCCUCCACAGAAUAUCGUUCAGAAAGUCGUAUCUUUGGGGGCAUUUGUUACACCGGUCGGGUUCAAAGGCAGUGAGUUUAAGCACAUGGAGUGGAGGAUUUGUUUUAAUACAGGGGAGACAGAACUAAUAAACAACCUUAAUGAAACACAGGUAAAACUCUAUGUUCUUUUAAAAAUGGUAGGUAUAGAUGUUCUGAAACCAAGAAAGAAAGAAGUAACCUCGUUCACGCUUAAGAACAUAGUUUUAUGGAUGGCAGAACAACCCACAAGUAUUGUUUCACGAAAAAAGAUUGGUCCACUGGCUUCAUGAAGACCUUGAAUGACUAAGAACGGCUUUAUUUACGCGACACCUACCAUACUAUAUGAAACCGGAGCGAAAUUUGAUGGCAGCAUGCGGACUGGAGGACGAGACUCAAUGUGUAUGUAUAGCAACACUCACGGACAUGAUGGAUGAAGGUCCAAAAGUUAUACUGAGGCUGCAAGAGAUCAGACGAGGCGUUAUCAUACAUCCAGAACCACUAACGUGGUAUAGACAGAAACAAAUUGAGUUCGAGAUGCUGAAUCUUUUUACGUUUAACGCCGUUUUAAAUGGCUUGGACAAUUAUGUUUUAGACCAAGUUUAUAAUCGUAUUACGAAGAUUGUAAGAGAUGUUUGUGAAUAUCUUAGCAUCGACGGACGUGACGAACUUAUCUUUUUUCAAGUAUUCGUCGCAAUGAUGUUCUGAAGAUACACAUUGUGCCAUUCCUUUAUUGCGUCCCUACUUAAUCCCAAAACAUGUAAACCAACUGUUACAUGAUCUAAUCCUCUAAGCAAACAUAUAAUCAGAAGCGUUCAAUACUUACAAAGGAUAACGAGGAGGUCUUUUAAAAAAAAGAAGAAGAUGUAAACCUCAAUAGUAACACGAUCUAGUUAAAGGUUAAAGGUGCGGUUUAAAGUGUGCGUCGAUAACGUAUGCAUCUUCAGCCUACUUCGACAUUAACCCCCCGAUUACUGGGAUUUGAGUCGUCCGUUUACAUAUGGCGCACAAGGUAGCCACGGCACAUUGACUUAUUUCCCUCAUAUAUAGUUCAACAUAUACUGAACAUAUUUUAACAUUAAAAGUGCUGUGUUUUGGGGUUAACUGUUUAUUAAACACUUAACAUCGGCCAAGGAAGUACAAGUAACGUGGACGUAAACAACUUUGAUCAGUUUUCAGAUUGGUUGUACGCAUAACUGCACUACAGCAGGUCGACUUGUCAGUGUUUACCGAAAACACACAUCUUACCCUUCUAUCUUUUGGACUGUUAAACACACGCGUUAUAGUUGCGAAUUUUGUGACAUUCUAUGAACGUAAAUACAACAUAAUCAUUUCGGUUUCACAGCAUAUACGAUAACUCAAAAAUAAGCAAAUAAUAAACCAGAUAGAUUAAAUAUAUGUUUUGUUUUAUCCUUCUUCUUGACAAAAUAAUACAAACAUUCUUAUCCGUUUCUGGUCAGAGUUUUUAUGUAAUAUAUUCUUUGAUAAUCAAUGUCAGAAAAGUAAUUUGUCUUUGUCUGAAUUCGAUUGUGAAAAGGCAAUGAUCGAUACUAAAUUGAAUCCACCAGCGUAUCAUUAUACCAUUAUUUUUAUAACGAUUACUAAAUCAUUGACAGUAACAAUAUCUACAUACAAUUAGUCAAAAUCCAGUGAUUCAACGGAUGAAAUAAUUUGUAUACUGCCCCCUGGCGAAGCACGAGUGAUUUGAUAACACGCAUCUAUACUCCUUACUGUGGGUUAUUCGAAAACAAACCAUCAUAGAAAACUAUUAUUUCGAUUUUAACACGAUUCUGAUUGAUUUGAUUCAAGCUUUUAUGCGUGAACUAUAUUUUUCAAUACUCCGCCCUUCUUAGUACAAAGUUCACUAUUAAGUGACGUUAAAUUGUACAAACAUAUGACGUCUUUUUCAUUCAUAAAUAUUUUGCAAAUGACGUCAUUUGAAUUGACAACAACAAUCGUAGAAAUUUAAUGACGUCACGUGUAUUGAUGCUACUGAAAAGCUGACAUGCUAUAAAUGUUUUCUGAAUUACGUUUCCUAACAAAUAACAUUCUUUGUAGACGUGGUUAUGCCACUUAUCACCAAAUAUACAAUUUGUUGUUUCAUUAUUUUUAUAUACAUGCUACAUUUAUUACAUUUCUUUUAGAGCGGGUUUUAGCACGUGCAUUUUACUGCAAUAUUUUCUUUAUUUAUUCGGAACUAUUUUCGAAACAUUAAGCUCCGCCCAUAAGUUAUUGCAGAAUAACCCACACUUGAUUUCCUUCUUUGUCUAUAGAAAACAAGUCGCGUGCCGUGUUAGAAUUAAGAAAUAAUAUUUUUCUAUCAUGGUUUGUUGUCGAAUAACCCACAGUAAGGAGUAUAGAUGCGUAGGAAUUAAAUCACGAGUGCGAAGCAAGGCUCGCGCUUCCGGCAUUCUAAGCCUCGCAACAUAAACUUCUCUGUAUUCAACGCUAACCUAGUAUUCUCUAUUUAUUCGGAACUAUUUUCAAAACAUUAAGCUCCGCCCAUAAGUUAUUGCAGAAUAACCCACACUUGAUUUCCUUCUUUGUCUAUAGAAAACAAGUCGCGUGCCGUGUUAGAAUCGACAACAAACCAUGCUAGAAAAGUAUACAUGUUGCAUUCUCAUAAGAAUAACAUAUAAGUACAAAUGCAUACACAAAAUUGUUUUUUUUUUGA